rnacentral:rRNA from 1 species
CAGCCGCCGCGGUAAUGCGUAGGUCCCGAGCGUUGUCCGGAUUUAUUGGGCGUAAAGCGAGCGCAGGCGGUUAGAUAAGUCUGAAGUUAAAGGCUGUGGCUUAACCAUAGUACGCUUUGGAAACUGUUUAACUUGAGUGCAAGAGGGGAGAGUGGAAUUCCAUGUGUAGCGGUGAAAUGCGUAGAUAUAUGGAGGAACACCGGUGGCGAAAGCGGCUCUCUGGCUUGUAACUGACGCUGAGGCUCGAAAGCGUGGGGAGCAAACAGGAUUAGAUACCCCUGUAGUCCCUGUCUCUUAUACA